rnacentral:rRNA from 1 species
UACGUAGGUGACCAGCGUUGUCCGGAUUUACUGGGCGUAAAGAGCGCGCAGGCGGUCGUUCAAGUCGAGUGUGAAAGCCCCCGGCUCAACUGGGGAGGGUCAUUCGAUACUGAUCGACUUGAAGGCAGGAGAGGGAAGUGGAAUUCCCGGUGUAGUGGUGAAAUGCGUAGAUAUCGGGAGGAACACCAGUGGCGAAGGCGACUUCCUGGCCUGUUCUUGACGCUGAGGCGCGAAAGCGUGGGGAGCAAACAGG